rnacentral:rRNA from 1 species
CCUACGGGAGGCUGCAGUGGGGGAUAUUGCACAAUGGGGGAAACCCUGAUGCAGCGACGCCGCGUGAGUGAAGAAGCGCCUCGGCGCGUAAAGCCCUGUCAGCAGGGAAGAAAAUGACGGUACCUGAAGAAGAAGCCCCGGCUAACUACGUGCCAGCAGCCGCGGUAAUACGGAGGGGGCAAGCGUUAUCCGGAUUUACUGGGUGUAAAGGGGGCGCAGACGGCGCGGCAAGCCAGGAGUGAAAGCCCGGGGCCCAACCCCGGGACUGCUCUGGGAACUGGGGGGCUAGAGUGCAGGAGGGGCAGGCGGAAUUCCUGGUGUAGCGGUGAAAUGCGUAGAUAUCAGGAGGAACAUCGGUGGCGAAGGCGGUUUGCUGGACUGUAACUGACGUUGAGGCACGAAAGCGUGGGGAGCAAACAGGAUUAGAUACCCGUGUAGUC